rnacentral:lncRNA from 1 species
GUGAAACCCUGUCUAUACUAAAAAUACAAAAAUUAGCCGGGCAUAGUGGCACGUGCCUGUAAUCCCAGCUACCUGGGAGGCUGAGGCAGGAGAAUCGCUGGAACCCAGGAGGCAGAGGGUGCAGUGAGCCGAGAUCAUGCCACUGCACUCCAGCCUGGGUGACAGAGCGAGACCCUGUCUCAAAAAAAAAAAAAAAGAAAAGUA